rnacentral:rRNA from 1 species
AGUGAACGCUGGCGGUAGGCCUAACACAUGCAAGUCGAACGGCAGCACAGUAAGAGCUUGCUCUUACGGGUGGCGAGUGGCGGACGGGUGAGGAAUACAUCGGAAUCUACUUUUUCGUGGGGGAUAACGUAGGGAAACUUACGCUAAUACAGCAUACGACCUACGGGUGAAAGCAGGGGAUCGUCGGACCUUGCGCGAUUGAAUGAGCCGAUGUUGGAUUAGCUAGUUGGCGGGGUAAAGGCCCACCAAGGCGACGAUCCGCAGCCGGUCUGAGAGGAUGAUCGGCCACACUGGAACUGGGACACGGUCCAGACUCCUACGGGAGGCCGCAGUGGGGAAUAUUGGACAAUGGGCGCAAGCCUGAUCCAGCCAUACCGCGUGGGUGAAGAAGGCCUUCGGGUUGUAAAGCCCUUUUGUUGGGAAAGAAACGCAGCAGGUUAAUACCCCGCUGUUCUGACGGUACCCAAAGAAUAAGCACCGGCUAACUUCGUG